AAACAAUUUUCUUGGCUAGUCUAGUGCUUCUCCCUUAUCUAAGUCUCUAGGAGAAUCCUACUGUUAUUGGGCAUAAGAGGGUUUUAUUUCUUCCUGUUUUGUCACCUACACUUUUGAGUCAGAUCUCAAAAAUGGUCCUUCUGCCAGGAGUUACUUGCACCCAUAGAAUGAGAAGUUUGAUUCAGAAUGAGAGGAGAGCUUUAUUCCCAAUAAAGCGUGAGAGGUAGGAGUUUGGUCUAGAGCAUAUGCUCUCCCCCAAACCAGCAGGGCUGUUUUAUAUGAUUCCUGUCAGCUGGGAGGGGGUGAGGGUCUCCCAGAAGGGCUCAGCUGUGCUGCUUGAGGCUCCAGAUCACAGUGCCGGGUGCGAUAUAUCUGCUCACAGCCCUCAGAGCUAAGGUGUGGCCAUUUCGCAUCAGGGCGUCUGGUAUGAAAGGCUGGGUGCAAGGCCUCUGCAGGAGGCACUCUGUGAACAAGUGAAGCUCAGCUCAGCACAAAGAAAAAGAAAAAAGAUUCCGCCCGGCUUUCCCUUCCUCCCGUAGCCACGCCCCGGCUUGGCUUCCAGCAGCCGUGGCAGCGCUGGCGUUUAGCCGAUGCCCAGAGACGACUCCCGAGAGGCGGUUUAGCUGACCACCUGGCGGGCAGCCGGCGCUCCUCUCCAGGAAGCAAGCGGUUCUCGAGCUCUCGCCGAGCGGACCGGUGAGGUGGCCGGGUCUCCAGCAUCCCCGCCGGCGCCUCCAGGAGCAGCGAGUCCCGGUUCCGCGCCAGCCCCAGCUGGCAAGAGCCAGCCGGUGUCCCCGGAGGAGAAGCCCAACCCGCUGCAGGACGCGAACCUCGGCUCGCGCUCGUUUGUCUGGAGUUUUUCAAGGGAAGUUCUUCAAGUUCUUGCUGUUGGAGAUGAUGCAUGUGAAACAGUUGGUGAUGGACAGGGAGGCCUGUGUGCUGCAAUUCAUGGGGUUGCAAAGAGUCGGACAUGACUGAGCAACUGAACUGAACUUGGGUAUUUGCUUUCUUCCCAAAUUUCAUCUGCUUUCGAAACUUGUAAACGAUGCCAGUAACUAGCUUACUGAGUUUUAUACAAAUGACCUUGAAACGGAAAGUGGGGUCUUGCUGCUCGCCUCUCAAAAGCCAAUAAAGAAGCAAAGUUUGUGGAAAGGA